UGAGCAAUCUGCCCUUCUCUUCGGAAUAAGCGUUGGAAACGACGUCUAAUGCCGAAUACGACCUCCUUUCGCAUGAUCGGAGGUGGAAAGCUCCGGCGGAGAAGGAUGAGCUCGCGGCCUAUCAACUAGUUGGUGUGGGUAACGGCCCACAAGGCGACGACGGGUAGCCGGCCUGAGAGGGUGACCGGCCACACUGGGACUGAGACACGGCCCAGACCUCCGUACGGGAGCAGNAGGUAGGGG
rnacentral:rRNA from 1 species